GGGGCUGUAGCUCAGUGGUAGAGCGCUUGCCUAGCAUGUGUGAGGCACUAGGUUCAAUCCUCAGCACCA
rnacentral:tRNA from 1 species